rnacentral:rRNA from 1 species
UACGGAGGAGGCAAGCGUUAUCCGGAAUUAUUGGGCGUAAAGCGUCCGCAGGUGGCACUUCAAGUCUGUCGUCAAAGACUGGGGCUUAACCCUGGAAAGGCGGUGGAAACUGAAGCGCUAGAGUGCGGUAGGGGUAGAGGGAAUUCCCGGUGUAGCGGUGAAGUGCGUAGAGAUCGGGAAGAACAUCGGUGGCGAAAGCGCUCUACUGGACCGCAACUGACACUCAGGGACGAAAGCUAGGGGAGCGAACGGG